rnacentral:rRNA from 1 species
GACGUAGGGUGCAAGCGUUGUCCGGAUUUAUUGGGCGUAAAGAGCUCGUAGGCGGCUUGUUGCGUCGACUGUGAAAACCCGCGGCUUAACCGCGGGCUUGCAGUUGAUACGGGCAGGCUAGAGUUCGGUAGGGGAGACUGGAAUCCUGGUGUAGCGGUGAAAUGCGCAGAGUAUCAGGAGGAACACCGGUGGCGAAGGCGGGUCUCUGGGCCGAUACUGACGCUGAGGAGCGAAAGCGUGGGGAGCGAACAGG